CAUCGAUCCGACCUCGGCAUCCCCGGUGGCCGCCGGCCUCUCCUCCUUCUCCCUCUCCCUCUCCUUGCCGUCCACGAUGGACGGGCCGGGCGCCAUGGCGUCCCAGAUCGGGAGCACGGGCGGCGCGCCGGGGGGCACCGGCGGCGCAGGCUUCUUGAGGCGGUGCGUCCUUGGGUCGACAUCGGGCGCGCCCGUGGGCAGCACGGCCGAGAUCGCGGCGAGGCUGCGGUGGCGGUUGAAGUCCUCCUGCACGGAGCGCGGCACGAGGACGCGCUAGAUUCCGUGGAUGACCCCGUCGGGGCGGAGCACUGCGUCCGGGCGCGUGACGGCAGCGUGGCCGACGCGCAUGCCGGCUGCGCUGUCGGCCGCGGCGGCGAGCUCGACCUCCUUGCCGGAGAGCGUGGGGUGGGAGGCGGCAGGCCAGGAGUCAGAGGGGAGGCGUGCGGGGAGGAUGUGGUAGAGCAGCAGCGCCUAGAGUGACUUGAGGUUGCAGGGCUCGAGGAGGAAGCGCUUGAACUCCGGGUCGAGGUCGCGCUUGAACUCCGCCGCACCUCAAUGCUGCGUUGCGCCGCUCUCCACCUCUGGUCCGCCCCCGCCGGCGCGCCCUGCUGGUUCCUGACCGGGGCUGCGGCGGCGGCGACCCGUCCUCUGGCGCGCGCACGCGCGAGCCAACCGGGAGCGAGCUCGCCGGGACGACGCCGGGGCCGGCGUGCGGCAUGGGGCUGGGGCUCCCUGGCGGGAGGUUGGGGAAGGGGCGGGCCCCACCUGUCAGUGGGCGCCGAGAGCCCUGUGGUCGCGCUGGAAGGACAGCGUUGGUGUGCCGCUAACGGAGCAGUCACGGAGGUCACGGCGAGGCCAUACAAAGGAUGCAACAUCAAAACCGGGUCAAAGAAGAAAGUUUCAACUCUUCAGGGCCAUGGAAGGAAGCGUGAUUUGAUCCAAGGCCUUGCAGGGAAUUUUCUCUAGAUUUAUUGGUGUGUUGACAAGAUCGUGCCCGCAGCCGUGGACAUGCAUGCGGCCGCGGCCCGAAAGCCACCAUGGAGGCGGCAGGAGAUGGGUCCCCGCGGCAUCGGACUCCACGGCGGCGCAAGCGCUCCUUCCUGGCCCAGAUCCGGCUGGCGGCCGUCCUCCCCGACAUCGGCAGCGUGCUUGGCCGCAGCGAGUCACGGCGGCCUCCUACGACCGGCGGGGCGUGGACGCGGAAGCCUGCCGGACGCCAGCGCGACGACGCGACCACGCGCCGCGCUGCAUUUUUUUUUGUUUUCAAUCGGUUUCUAGGGGCGGUUGACCCCUCACCCGCCCCUACAAACUCAUUUAUAGGGACGGGUGAGGGCAUCACCCGCUCUUGAAAAUAGAUUUGUAGGGACGGGUGAGGGGUCACACGCCGACGGGUGAGGGCAUCACCCGCUUUUGAAAAUAGAUUUGUAGGGACGGGUGAGGGGUCACACGCCCUUGGAAAUAGAUUUUUAGCGGAGGGUGAGGGCGUCACCCGCCCCUGGAAAUAGAUUUUUAGGGGCGGGUUUGUUUUUCGCUCUUGAAAAAGAGGUAUUUUUAGCAGUGAAAACUAGCCACGGAUUUUCUAUCCGUCCCUAAAAAUAGUGUUUUAUCCGCCCUACAAAUCUUUAUUGUAGUAGUGUAAGCAACCUUGUCCUA